rnacentral:lncRNA from 10 species
AUCAUCACCUGUUGCCCCUAUGCUUGAUCUCAACUCUUGGCCUCUUAGACUUCUAUUAUUUUCUCCAAGGUUCUCUUGACUCUAUAUACUCCUGACUUACUGAGACAUCUGCUUGUCAUCUAGAGCAGAUCUCUGUCAUACCUCUAUUACCUGUCUGAAUAUCCUAGUGCAGUCACAGGUGAAUAGGCACUGACAGUAGUAACAAUAAGUAUUCACUAUUCAAGAUUAGGAGUAAUUAUUUGUCUUUAUGUGAUAUAUGAGAUUAAAUAUUUUUAUAGCAAUCCAUCCAGUGUCAAACUUGAAUCUGUAAUACAGAUAAAGCAUUAUUAAGGCCAUUUUAUGUAAAAGUAAAUUGAGUCUCAGAAAGGUAAAGGGAAUUAUCCAGUAUCACAUGACUAAGAAAUAGAAGAGGUACUUCUCUGGGAGGGGAGAAACAGAGAGACACAGGGAGAGAGAAAAUGAAUUUCAAUUGGGUUCUAACAUCAGUCAGGUUCCCCUAUUUAAAAUUGGUUACUACACACACAUACACAUACACACACACACACACACACACACACACACACACACACACACGGGAUAAUCACAUCAAAGUAAACAUUCACUGACCUCACAUCCAUUCUCUACUUACUUGCUGAAUACACCAAAAUUAGAUUGUGGACACCCAGGAAAUAAUUAUAGAAGAUCACUUACAUUGUAUUUGAAAUUAUAAUGAACAUGUACUGUGAAAACAUAAUUGCUAGAAGAUAUUAGAUGUACCAGUCUUCCUGAAAUCAUAUUUAAAGUAAUAAAAAUUAGUUUGCAUUAUCACUAAGAUAUGUGUUGAUAUGAAUUUUUGAAUGACAGCAUUAUAUUAUUUAUAAUAUUACUAAAUAUUAUCAUCAUAGUUUUCUGUGUUAUUGCUCAGUUUACAUUGAUUUAUAAUCAUUCAGGGAUAUCAAAUAGAAAGCCAAAAUCAAGAAGGAAACUAGGAUGUCGCCUUCACAGGGUGGCUUCUUUCACAUAGCAAUAUGCAUUUAAUGUUUCUCUGUAUCAUUUCAUGGCUAAAUAGUUCAUUUCUUCUUAUCAUUGAAUAAUAUUCCAUUGUUUGGAUGUAUCACAGCCACAGUUUACUUAUUCACCUAUCAAAGGACACCUUGGUUGCUUGCAAGG